AGAAACCACGGCUCUGCGCUGGCAGAUAGGAGUCGUCAGCAAAUUAUUUUUGCCGGGACAAGAAAAUCGGUAGGUGGAAAAUAUUGCCUUUGUGAUUUCCCCAUGCCCAAAGAACGGGAUGGAAUCGCAGCUUGCAUUUUUGAAAAGGCAAAACGCUCCCCAGAAGCCCACUGGAGUUCCACCUUACCAGAGCUUCGCUGUCUCCGUUUCGUCACAGGCCUGACUGUGUCACCUUUGUUUCCUGGACCCCUCCUGCCUCUAAGAGUCACUGCAAAUCUCAUUGUAUAAAAAUCUGGAGCAUCUGUGUGUUGUGUAAAUCAGACCCCAAAAAGGCGCCACCAGGAUCAGGUGCAUGAGAUUCUGGGUGGAAGGAGGAUUUGAACAAAAUGACCCUUAGGAUAUGGGGGGAAGGCCUCCUUGCCUCCUGGCCUCCUGGACCUCUUCCUACAAACUGAGAAUAACAUUCUGGGAGGGAACCCUUAUUUGGGUGGUGGUAUUACUCCCCCCAGAUACUAAAGAUGAUGGUAGAUGACACGCUUAGCAUCUGUGGUACCCUGGAUUAACUCCCCAGCAGCCCCCCAACCCAAGUAAAAAAAAAAAUCAAAGACCAUUUGUAAAUGUCUCUGUCACUAAAGUGCCCCCUCCAAAUACAUUUGGAGACCCCACCCAUUAUGAUUCCCUUUAUUUUAGAUUUUAUUGAAAUUUAUCUUACAACACUUUCUGUGACUCGAGAAUACAGACGUUUUGACUGACAUCAUUAUCCAGUGAUUGUACUGGAAUGUCAUAACUGUCAAGCUUAUUUACUCAGACUUGCUCAGAUCUAGGUUUUAGAUUAUUUUCCCCCCAAUAUCUAAUAUUUCAUCAUUCUUGGGCAACUCCUAAAAGCCAGUUUAUGGUUUCUCCACUAUUUUAAGCAUUUUUUUCCUUCGCCAUCUUUUUCCACUGACGACUCUGAUGUGGAGAGCACCCACAUCAGACCCAGGGAGGAGCUACACCCCUCCUGCAGCUCCCGGUUAUGUUAGGAUGACCUCCUUGGAUUGGAGGUCCCUUCCCCCACCUUCUCCUCUCCAGGCAUCCCCGUCCCUGUCCCUGGUGCAGGAAAUGGC
rnacentral:lncRNA from 1 species